rnacentral:lncRNA from 10 species
ACUGCGCAUGCUCCCCAGCUGGGCCGGCUGCGGACGCGGGAAGGGAGGUGGUGGCGACUGACGGAACUGGGUGAAGGCAGCAGUCUGUCAACAACUAUGGCAUCCAGCUGGUCAGAAAGACUAGAGGAUUUGACAUUUUGCGGCUGUUCUCUAGAACCAAAGAAAUGAGAACCUCUUGGUAAAAUCCGCUGGUCCAGGAGUUAUUAUCUCCUGGAUUAUCUGCCAAAGAAAUUAUCUGCCAAAAUUACAAUGUAAAACUGAAGAAGACAACCGAUAACUCAGUUAAAAUUUUGGAAAAAUACAAAGAAACUGUGACUGGGGAGAAAUGGAUUCUUUCUUUGAUUUUAUAAGCUGACAUGAUUGCUUGUUCUGUUGUGAAUGCACGCUGCUCUGGGCCUCAGUUAACCCAUCACACCUGAGCUCCACGCUGUCCACGGGUGCUUUUUCUGCAGUGUUAACGUCAUCUUCAUGGUCGGUAUCAUCACGAUCACCUUGAUUCAGAACCAUUCUGGCUAUUUCCCCAACAGUCAAUGAAAUGAACAACCGGAGCCUCAUUAUCAAUGUUAAAAAUGACAUUAAUGUGUACUUCUUCCCGCUGACUGAUGAACUCUGAAGGUAUAUUUUUUGGAGGUCAGACAUCCUUUUCUUCUCACUUGACAAGCUGAAUUCUUCUAAACCACCACCUGGUUCAUCAUCAUCACUGAACACAGUCGUAGGCCAGAGGUCACGCCAGGCACGCACAUCUGUGUCUUUAGUCACUGUGUUGCAAGCGUUGGCAACAGCAUGUAUGGCAUCCUUCAUGCUCAGCUCCUGAAAAUCUUCUACACCUACACCUCCGUUCACUGCUGCGAGCGUGCAAUUCAAGACAGUGUUUUUAUAUUUACUUUUCAUUGAUCUAAAGAUACC